rnacentral:lncRNA from 1 species
GGCUAUGGCUUAGAUAAGUGACCGAUAAUGCAAAUGUCGAAACUAAUCAAAUGAAUGUAAUGUUUUGGAACUACCGUCUACCUUUGCAGGGCUUAGCCUAAAUCUGAGAGGAUGUUUGGUGUUGCGUUUUCAAAGUAGAUUAUGCAUUUUCAAAAUAGAUUUUGCGUUUUUAAAACUGCGUUUUGAAAAAGCAUGUAGGUACAUGCUUCUCCAAAACUGCGUUUUGGAGGCAGAUAAUCACUUUUUCAUCCAAACACUUUUUUAGAUUAUUUAUGUUUUAGAAAAACGAAAUAAUCAAAUAAACACUUCAAAACGUAAUCCCAAACACCUUCUGAAUAUAAAUCCGAAGGUCAAGAGGUCCCCUUUGGUAUGAAUAAUCUUGAGGUUAACAACGAAUUUGAUCUCAUUAUUAGAGCCCACUAUCAGAGGAAGUAUAAUUAAAUGUCUCGGAUCAUGCGGAAUCCAUUCCAGUGGUGGAAAUCUUCGCCGAUGGUCCGUCUACUCUAGACAACUACAAUGCUCUUCAGAAGGAAAUAGAGGCGACAGUCAUGCUGGUUUGAAGCUGUGAAAUCAGUUAAAAUUAGGCAAUUUUUAUUGACUAAUGGUCGGAUGAAAGGAAGCAAUGAUUGUUGAAAAUUUAGAUAUUAUGAAUGGAUAUUAAUU